ensembl:lncRNA
GUCAGCAGCUGGGUCCCCUGGCAUUUGGGGUCUGCAGGGGUGGAUAGGUUCUGUCACUACCCCCAGCCACAGAGCCCAGACCACAUCCAUCCACUGGCUUCCAUGGGGCCUGGGACUGGGCUGGGCCCUGGUGGCCACUGGGAGACAGUGUUUGAGGACACAGAAGCCCCUUGGAUGGGUGCGGUAGCCGCCGGGCCUUCAGUGUGCUCUCUUAAGCGCUUUCUUCCCGUCCUCUAGAACGAGCUCACUUAGCCUGCCUCCCUUCCAGACUUGAGCACAGUGUGUAGAGCAACCACCGUCUCCCGAGAGGUGUUGGAGAAGACAGGACCACAGAAUGUGACCUAUGAAGGCUGAUAAACUCAAAAAAGGCAAGAAGCAGCUGCGCAGCACUGGAGAGGUGGUGCCUUGCACAGGAAGAGACAGGUGGGCUGGGAGAGAAGCUGUUUGCCCACGGUCUGCAAACUUGGAGAACUGCAGCCCGGACAGGGAAAAGAGACUAGUAUGAACUGAACUCAACUUUGACUUUACAGAAGUAACUGAGUGUUUUCAAAGGAGAAUGAAGGACUAUGCAGGACGGUGGACAGAGCUCAGUAGAGUCAGCCAGUUAGAUGUGCAAGAUGUUUACAAGGACAUGAAGAUUCUUCCAGACAGCACAUAACCCAGGCACCUGUAAUUCUUGUCACCUCACCUGGCAUUUUCUCUAAAAGUUAAGAGAACAAAUUUUAGUGCCUGGCAGACUUGAAUUCACGUCCAGACUCCUUCUUUAGUAACUGUGAUGUUCCUAAGCCUCAGUUUCCUUAUCUGGGAAAUGGGCUAAUAACAAGGGUUGCUUAUGAGGACCAAAUGAGAAGACACAGGGAAAGUGCUUGGUGGAGCGUCUGGUGGAGUUACAAGCCUAAGCAACCCGUCAGGAUGUUCAUUUCUGCACUGCAAGACCUCGUGCACAUUCACUGGUCAAGGAAGGUCUGUCUGGGGAACUGACCUAAAGCACGAGGGACAGGAGGAGACUCACCGUGCCCUUAACUACCGCCACACUUAAGGCAGCCGUGCUUUACGACAGCCACUGAGACAUGGAACUGGAGGUGCAGCACACUAUGAAAGGGAAACUUCAAGACCCAGGGAUUGAACCCACAUCUCCUGCAUUAGCAGGCAAAUUCUUUACUGCUGAACUACCUGGGAAGCCCACUAAAUGUUACCCUGUUUUAAUUAUAAGAUGAAGGAUAAGAUGCCUGAUCUAUCUUCUUAAAACAUCUAUAUACCAGGGUUCAAAUCCUGGGUCCCAGAAGGAGAGAGCAGACUGCAGGGAUGUAUUAAGACAAUGUAUCUUCCAACGUCUUUUACGUGCUUUCAGCUUCCUGAACUGAAACCUGGACGUGCUUGAGCCUUUCUUCAAAUGGAUUGACCCAAGUUGGGAAUGGGGGUCUGUUUCGGCGCCCCACUGGACUGAGGACCUGGUUGGCCCCCACUCUCCACUGUGACGCCUCCUGAGGCAUUUGCAUGGU